CAAGUAGAACGCUGAAGACUGGUGCUUGCACUAGUCAGAUGAGUUGCGAACGGGUGAGUAACGCGUAGGUAACCUACCUUAUAGCGGGGGAUAACUAUUGGAAACGAUAGCUAAUACCGCAUGACAAUUAAGUACUCAUGUACUAAAUUUAAAAGGAGCAAUUGCUUCACUAUGAGAUGGACCUGCGUUGUAUUAGCUAGUUGGUGAGGUAACGGCUCACCAAGGCCACGAUACAUAGCCGACCUGAGAGGGUGAUCGGCCACACUGGGACUGAGACACGGCCCAGACUCCUACGGGAGGCAGCAGUAGGGAAUCUUCGGCAAUGGGGGCAACCCUGACCGAGCAACGCCGCGUGAGUGAAGAAGGUUUUCGGAUCGUAAAGCUCUGUUGUUAGAGAAGAACGGUAAUGGGAGUGGAAAAUCCAUUACGUGACGGUAACUAACCAGAAAGGGACGGCUAACUACGUGCCAGCAGCCGCGGUAAUACGUAGGUCUCGAGCGUUGUCCGGAUUUAUUGGGCGUAAAGCGAGCGCAGGCGGUUAUUUAAGUCUGAAGUUAAAGGCCGUGGCUCAACCAUGGUUCGCUUUGGAAACUGGAUAACUUGAGUGCAGAAGGGGAGAGUGGAAUUCCAUGUGUAGCGGUGAAAUGCGUAGAUAUAUGGAGGAACACCGGUGGCGAAAGCGGCUCUCUGGUCUGUAACUGACGCUGAGGCUCGAAAGCGUGGGGAGCAAACAGGAUUAGAUACCCUGGUAGUCCACGCCGUAAACGAUGAGUGCUAGGUGUUAGGCCCUUUCCGGGGCUUAGUGCCGCAGCUAACGCAUUAAGCACUCCGCCUGGGGAGUACGACCGCAAGGUUGAAACUCAA
rnacentral:rRNA from 1 species